rnacentral:rRNA from 1 species
UACAGAGGGUGCAAGCGUUGUCCGGAAUCAUUGGGCGUAAAGAGCGCGUAGGCGGCCCUGUAAGUCCGCUGUGAAAGUCAAGGGCUCAACCCUUGGAUGCCGGUGGAUACUGCAGGGCUAGAGUCCGGAAGAGGCGUGCGGAACUUCCGGUGGAGCGGUGAAAUGCGUAGAUAUCGGAAGGAACACCGGUGGCGAAAGCGGCGCGCUGGAUCCCUACUGACGCUGAGGCACGAAAGCCAGGGGAGCAAACGGG